UGGGGAAUAUUGCACAAUGGGCGCAAGCCUGAUGCAGCGACGCCGCGUGAGGGAUGACGGCCUUCGGGUUGUAAACCUCUUUCAAUAGGGACGAAGCGCAAGUGACGGUACCUAUAGAAGAAGGACCGGCCAACUACGUGCCAGCAGCCGCGGUAAUACGUAGGGUCCGAGCGUUGUCCGGAAUUACUGGGCGUAAAGAGCUCGUAGGUGGUUUGUCGCGUUGUUCGUGAAAACUCACAGCUUAACUGUGGGCGUGCGGGCGAUACGGGCAGACUAGAGUACUGCAGGGGAGACUGGAAUUCCUGGUGUAGCGGUGGAAUGCGCAGAUAUCAGGAGGAACACCGGUGGCGAAGGCGGGUCUCUGGGCAGUAACUGACGCUGAGGAGCGAAAGCGUGGGGAGCGAACAGGAUUAGAUACCCUGGUAGUCCACGCCGUAAACGGUGGGUACUAGGUGUGGGUUUCCUUCCUUGGGAUCCGUGCCGUAGCUAACGCAUUAAGUACCCCGCCUGGGGAGUACGGCCGCAAGGCUAAAACUCAAAGAAAUUGACGGGGGCCCGCACAAGCGGCGGAGCAUGUGGAUUAAUUCGAUGCAACGCGAAGAACCUUACCUGGGUUUGACAUGCACAGGACGCCAGUAGAGAUAUUGGUUCCCUUGUGGCCUGUGUGCAGGUGGUGCAUGGCUGUCGUCAGCUCGUGUCGUGAGAUGUUGGGUUAAGUCCCGCAACGAGCGCAACCCUUGUCUCAUGUUGCCAGCACGUAAUGGUGGGGACUCGUGAGAGACUGCCGGGGUCAACUCGGAGGAAGGUGGGGAUGACGUCAAGUCAUCAUGCCCCUUAUGUCCAGGGCUUCACACAUGCUACAAUGGCCGGUACAAAGGGCUGCGAUGCCGUGAGGUGGAGCGAAUCCUUUCAAAGCCGGUCUCAGUUCGGAUCGGGGUCUGCAACUCGACCCCGUGAAGUCGGAGUCGCUAGUAAUCGCAGAUCAGCAACGCUGCGGUGAAUACGUUCCCGGGCCUUGUACACACCGCCCGU
rnacentral:rRNA from 1 species